CGCCGUGAUGGGCGCCGGGAUCAGCGACUGGGGAAUGCUCGCCGCCACCGGCGAACAUGGGCCGUUCGAGUCCGCCCUCGGCGGC
rnacentral:tRNA from 1 species